GGUUCAUUUUGGACCAUUUUUGGGGUCAUUUUUGGGGUCAUUUUUGGGACAUUUUUGGGGUCAUUUUGGGUCAUUUUGGGGCCCAUUUUUUGGGGCCAUUUUUUUCGGUUCAUUUUGGACCAUUUUUGGGGUCAUUUUGAGUCAUUUUGGGACAUUUUGGGGCCCAUUUUUUGGGGCCAUUUUUUGGGGGUCAUUUUUGGGGCCAUUUUUGGGGCCAUUUUUGGGGCCAUUUUUGGGGCCAUUUUUGGGGUCAUUUUUGGGGUCAUUUUUGGGGUCAUUUUGGGGCAUUUUUGGGGUCAUUUUUGGGGUAUUUUGGGUUAUUUUGGGACGUUUUUUGGGACCAUUUUUGGGGGUUCAUUUUGGACCCUUUUUA
rnacentral:lncRNA from 1 species